AUGGCUCGCUCGCCGGGGACGGGGGCGAUGUGCCCCGAUUGCCUGGAGCGGCGCAUCCGAUCCGACCUCGCUGGUUCCGGACUCUCCUUCGUCCACGGCGUCUCCGACUCCCCGCUCCCCUUUGCCUCCUCCGCUGUCGUCCAGAUGGCAUCUGAUGGACCCGACCAAUGUAUUGGGAGCCAGAAGACCUGUGGUUAUUUUGUGUUGGUGGUACUAAAUGGUGGUAAGACAUAUGUGGAUACAAAAAAAUGUGAAAACAACCCAUUGGAGCAAUCACUCAUAUUUAAAGAUGAUAAUCAUUGUGCUGUGCAAGCAGAUUCCUCUCCUGGUAUUGAACAUAUUGGAGAUCUUCAAAGUUCUUCUAGCUCGAAUAAUCAGCAACUAAUUGUAAACAUAAUCACCAAGUUAACUCCUGUUUACUAUCUGGGCAGAGUCUCCACUACAGAAAUUAGAGAUCUUAUGGCAAGUUAUAUGAAUUUAUCCAUUGAACAGGAUGUGAUUGAUUCACUAAAUCUGUUGUGUGAAAACACCAUCAGUGGACCAGCUGGUUUAGGUUUUCUCAGUUUUGUUGGAUUUUCAGCAUUUGAUGAUAUACAUCCUUCUGGGCUUGUGAGACACCCCAACAUCUUACCUGUGUUAGGUGUUGUAGAAUCAUCUGAUUGUUGCUACAUGUUUCAACCAAAGGCUCCAUACACUUUGGAGAACAUCAUGCACUACAGCCAAGAGGCAUUGUGCUCAGAUUGGCACAUCAGAUUUUUCAUCUACCAAAUAAUGUCUGCAUUGUCAUAUCUUCAUGAUUUUGGAGUUCAUCACGGCAAUCUGAAACCAUCAACCAUCUUGAUGUCAGAUUCUCUAUGGCCUUAUCUCAGCAUAAGUGAUAUAUCUCAUGUUAAACAGAACUGGGGUUUUGGGGGACCUGAAGGUUCAACACCUAAUUCAUGCUGUGCUGAGGAGGAUUGUUCUUCAAGAUCAAUUUUUGCUAGUUUCAAUCUUCCAUCAUCCUUAGAUUGGUCUUCUCACUUCAAACGAUGGUGGACGGGUGAGUUGAGCAAUUAUGAGUACCUUCUUGUCUUGAACAAGUUAGCUGGUAGGAGAUGGGGUGAUCCAGCUUUUCAUCCGGUGAUGCCUUGGGUAAUAGAUUUCACAGUGAGGCCUGACGAAAAUUCUGACAUUGGCUGGAGAGACCUCACCAAAAGUAAAUGGCGGUUGGCAAAGGGCGAUGAACAAUUGGAUUUUACUUACUCAUCAUCUGAUGUUCCAUAUCAUGUUUCUGAUGAGUGUCUCUCAGAGCUAGCAGUUUGCAGUUACAAAGCAAGAAGGCUAUCAAAGUCCAUCUUGAGGUCAGCUGUCCGCUCUGUCUACGAGCCCAACGAAUACCCAUCUAGUAUGCAAAGGCUUUAUCAAUGGACUCCAGAUGAAUGCAUCCCAGAGUUCUAUAGCGAUCCUUGGAUUUUUGUCUCUCUUCAUUCUGAAAUGAGUAAUUUGGCUUUGCCUUCCUGGGUGACCUCUUCGGAGGAAUUCAUUUGUCUUCACAGGGAUGCCUUGGAGAGUGACCGAGUCUCACAACAACUGCAUCAUUGGAUUGAUAUAACCUUUGGCUAUAAACUUGCUGGAGAGGCAUCUGUUGAAGCUAAGAAUGUCAUGUUGCCUCCCAGUGAUCCAUCAAGGCCUAAAUCAAUUGGGCGACGGCAACUUUUUACAAAGCCACAUCCUAAGCGUCUUAUUAGCACACCUCACUCAGCCUACCACAAUAAAGUGGAAUCUUGUGCAAGAUGCCAAGGAAAAGGAAGUAACUCAACUACUGAUCUAUUGUUAAAUGACUGUAAUUCCCCAAAUAUGUUUUCACAAGUUGACUAUUUGGAAGAGUUUGAACAAGCAACAUUAUUUAUGGAGCUUCAACACCAUUUGAAUCCAAUAUACAGUUACUCUAACACUGCUGCUUCUUGUUGUUCAUCAGUCAAAUAUCCCAAGAGCCAAUUUUCAGAUCAGGAGGUAUUGCAACCUGAUAGUGUAUUAUCGGUGGUGCCUGAUUUUGAUUUUGGCUCCUAUCUUGAAUGCUUUGAGUCUGAUGAUAGUUCUUUUAUUGGUUAUCAAGAGCUGUUGCGCUGGAAGCAAAGGUCUUGUUCUGUUAUUGAGCAUCAUGCAAAUGAUAUAUUUUCAAUAGGGUGCAUGUUAGCAGAAAUCUAUCUGCACAGACCACUUUUUGAUGCUUCCUUGCUAGCUGCAUAUAAAGAAACUGGUAUGCUGCCAGGAGCACUCCAUGAAUUGCCUGUUCAUGUCCGUUUGCUUGUUGAGUCAUGCAUCCAAAGGCAAUGGAAAAGGAGGCCGUGUUCAAAGCAUCUUCUGGAGUCACCAUAUUUUCCUCCAUCAGUUCGAUCCGCAUAUAUGUUUCUUGCUCCACUUCAACUUCUGUGUACAUCUGGAGACCACCUGAAGUAUGUUACUAAGCUUGCAAGUGCAGGGACACUUAAAGCCAUGGGAGAAUUUGCUGCUGAAGUGUGUGCACCUUACUGCCUACCUUUUGUUUCAUCAUCUGGGUUGGAUGUUGACACCGAGUCUUGCUUGCGUCUGCUUAAAGAGUUUUUGAAGUGCUUGAGUGUCCAAGCAGCUAAGAAACAUAUUCUGCCCAUCAUUCAGAAAAUCUUACAGGCACCAGAAUAUUCCCAUCUGAAGGUUUCUCUCCUUCAAGAUUCUUUUGUCCGAGAGUUAUGGAAAAAAUUGGGAAAACGAACCUAUAUUGAGAAGGUGCAUCCGUUGGUCAUAGCAAACUUACACAAUUCACCUAACAAGAUCACUGCAUCUUCUGCAUCCAUUGUUUUAAUUGGUUCAAGUGAGGAACUAGGAAUACCAAUCACUGUUCAUCAGACAGUUUUACCACUAAUCCACUCUUUCGGCAAAGGUUUAUGUGAUGAUGGAAUUGAAACUUUGGUCAGGAUAGGUGGACUUCUUGGGGAAAGUUUUAUUGUCAAGCAAAUUCUCCCCUUGCUGAGGAAUGUUAUACUUUUUUGUAUCGACUCCUCCAAGGUGACUAAGCCAGAACCACAGCAGAGUUGGAACUCUUUUGCUCUGAUUGAUGGCUUAUCUGCGUUGGAAGGCCUUGUAUCAGUUCUUCCUGUUAAGGCAGUUCUCAGGGAGCUUCUCCAGGACCAAGUCUGUCUUCAUAUAAAGAUUCUUAUGCUGAUCCAUUUGGACCUUGAUGUGAUUCAGGUGGCAGCUACUGCAUUUGUUGACCUUUGUCUACGAAUUGGACCAGAUAAUACCGUCAUACAUGUUUUGCCACAUCUAAAAGAGCUUUUUGCUGAAUUGGCCUUUUUUCAAGACUCUUCUGCUGUUAGCCUUCCUACAAAAGGGUUAAAAAUCUCAGAAAGAAACAAAAGUGAGACGAUUAAAAUGGAAUCUAGAGUUGAUCUCGUCUGUUGUAGGUUGUUGCUAUAUCCUUUCUUGGCAUCACUUGUUGGAAUAGAGAAGAUCCGUGAAUACUGCUCUACAUGGUUUCUAUUGGAGCAGUCUCUUCAAAGGUUGUACAAUUGGAAGUUUGAGCCUUCCAGUAAAUGUUCUAUAAGUGGUGAAAACAUGAAAACUCAAAGGUUUCAGCCUGGCAAUGACACCUCGUCUGAGGUUGUUCCAACAGACCUUUUUAAUGGGGCAGGGUCGUCUGUGUCUCAAUCUCAAAUCCCUAAAACUGGUUGGAUGGCAGCUUCCAAGCACAGAUUUAGGCUCGAGCAUGGGUCAUCUAGUGACAAUUUGUCUGCAUCAACUUCUGGAAAUCAGCCGUGGUUUUGGUUCCCUUCUCCUGACAGUAGUUGGGGCGUACCAGAUCUUCUUGGACGCAGUAGCGGUUUGAAGGAUGAACUUCCAUGGAAGAUCGAAGCUUCAGUCCUUUACUCAGCCCGUGCACACCCUGGGGCUCUGCGGUCAUUAGAAGUCCAUGAUGAUGAGUGCACGAUUUUUACUGGGGGAGUUGGACCUGGUUUUAAAGGAAGUAUACAGCGUUGGGAGUUGGCCAACAUGAAUUGCACAUCUGGAUAUUACGGGCAUGAAGAGGUUGUCAAUUCCAUCUGUAUCCUGUCAAUUACUGGAAAAGUAGCUUCUUGUGAUGGCACGAUUCAUAUUUGGAAUGGGCAGACAGGAAAGCUCAUAGCAGCUCAUACCGAGUCAUCAACAAGCUUUCCGCCGCAAACUGCAUCUGUUGAACAGGCAAACAUGCUUAAUCAGGACGCGCUCUCAGGUGGAAUAUUGUCGAAUGCAUUUCGUGGUAGCUUGUAUACGACCAUGCAUUACAUGGCAUCUGAAGAUAAACUUGUUGCUGGCAUGGGAAAUGGAUCUAUCAGAUUUAUUGAUAUCUCUCGGGAUCAGAAGCUGCAUUUAUGGAAGAGCGAUUCGGCUGAAAUCUCCUUCUCAUCACUCGUGUCAGCUAUUUGCUCGUCUGGCUCAGACAAGCCGAGGAAUGGAAGCCUAUUGGCUUCAUCAUCCUGGAUUGCAGCAGGUCUAAGCUCUGGUUAUUGUCGAUUACUUGACGAGCGUAGUGGAAAAAUCAUUGCAGUUUGGCGAGCACAUGAUGGUCACAUUACGAAGUUGGCAUCACCAGAGGACCACUUGAUUGCAUCUAGCUCCCUUGACAAGACUCUUCGAAUUUGGGAUCUAAGAAGGAACCUAUCAGUCCAGUCAAACAUUUUCAGAAGCCAUUCAGAUGGCAUCUUUGACUUCUCUGUUUGGGGUCAAGACCUGGUAUCAGUGUCAAGAAACAAAAUUGCACUUACUUCCCUAUCGAGACCAACAAGUGAGAUCGGACAUCAGCAGCUCGUACUUCAGAACUUAUAUUCGACUGACAGAGGAGUAAAAUAUAAAAACAUGUCUGUUCUUUCGGCUAUUUCUGUGCUUCCUUUGUCAAGAUUGUUUGUCGUUGGAACAGAAGAUGGUUUUCUCAAAAUCUGCCACUAG
rnacentral:rRNA from 1 species